rnacentral:lncRNA from 1 species
GGAUUGGGAUAUUCCGACUCCUUAAGGGCCUGGCGCACAUAAGGUGUGACCUUUUCAUUCCCGUUGUUAUGGAGGGCCACAUCUGCCAGAGCCUGGAGUCUGCGAAGGCCGGGACCCGGUUCCCCGGCCCACAGUGGGGGUGUGCAAACCCGAGAGAACUGGAUUGCGUACCCACUGCAGAGUGCUGAAGACGGGGUAGCCACGAGGUUGCAAAUUCGUGAAGAAUCAGCAUCAUGUUUGGCAGCUGAGUAUUGGAGCCAGGAGCCUGCCAUGAGGUUUUGAGAACAGAGUGCUGUUUUAGAGCUGGCAGCAGCAUCUCAGCCCAAGAGAAGGUUAUAUUCCCAGAGGAUGUCAGUCCCAAGGACCAGUAGCUGCCAUCAGUUUGGAUUCUGAAAACUAACUGGCAUCAACACUGGGUGUAGAAACAUGCUUGCCUUAUGUAUCAGAGGACAUGCUCAGCAGAUCCAAGAGAUAUAUUUGGCAACUUUUUCUAGAAAAGGCACAUUGGGUAUCAUUCAUUACAUUCUUGAGUUUUUUUGGGUUUUUUUUUUUUUUUUUGAGACAGUCUUGCUGUAUUGCCCAGGCUGGAGUGUGGUGGCACAAUCACAGCUCAUUGCAUCCUCAAUCACCCAGGCCUAAGCAAUCCUCCCACCUUGUAGCUGGGACUACAGCUCACAGCACACCUGGCUAAAAUUUUUUUUUUGUUGAGACGGAUUCUCUAUGUUGCCCAGGCUGGUCUCAGGCUCCUGGGCUCAGAUGGUCCUCCUGCCUCAGCUUCCAAAGGCACAGGCCAAGUUGUAGCUUUGUCCCUUGCCAUCAUGCCCAACAAGAGGUUCUAUACCUUUUAAUGAAUUGACUUUCAUAAAUUGGUUAUGUUGGUGGGCAAAGUUCUUUAAGCUGGAAAUUGUAAAUUCCUCCUGAAAUGUUUUUUCAUGCAGUUACCAUGAACUAAUACUACAAUAAAGGAUGGUCUUGGGUGUCAAUUCUUGAAAA